GGAAUGGAGGCUUUGGACUAAGGA
rnacentral:piRNA from 1 species